rnacentral:rRNA from 1 species
AGGGAUCAUUACCGAGUUUACAACUCCCAAACCCAAUGUGAACCAUACCAAACUGUUGCCUCGGCGGGGUCACGCCCCGGGUGCGUCGCAGCCCCGGAACCAGGCGCCCGCCGGAGGGACCAACCAAACUCUUUUCUGUAGUCCCCUCGCGGACGUUAUUUCUUACAGCUCUGAGCAAAAAUUCAAAAUGAAUCAAAACUUUCAACAACGGAUCUCUUGGUUCUGGCAUCGAUGAAGAACGCAGCGAAAUGCGAUAAGUAAUGUGAAUUGCAGAAUUCAGUGAAUCAUCGAAUCUUUGAACGCACAUUGCGCCCGCCAGUAUUCUGGCGGGCAUGCCUGUCCGAGCGUCAUUUCAACCCUCGAACCCCUCCGGGGGGUCGGCGUUGGGGAUCGGGAACCCCUAAGACGGGAUCCCGGCCCCGAAAUACAGUGGCGGUCUCGCCGCAGCCUCUCCUGCGCAGUAGUUUGCACAACUCGCACCGGGAGCGCGGCGCGUCCACGUCCGUAAAACACCCAACUUCUGAAAUGUUGACCUCGGAUCAGGUAGGAAUACCCGCUGAACUUAG